CUUUAACUCAGUGUUUCAACCUCUGCAUCGUGACUAGAUGACAUGUGAGUGGAGAUACUGACCGCCCCCUGCCCCGCCUUCAUCCCUAGGCUGGUCAUCUGGCUGUGAACCGCUGUGAUUUUUAAAUCUGCCAGUGACUUAGACAAUAACAAAAGGUUGCAUCCAGACUAACUUGGCCCAUGUUAAGAACCCUGGGAGCUCAGCCCACAGAUCUCAAGAUGAGAGUGCAGUGCGCUAUCAAUUUCUACAAUCUCAAAAACAGUGAAAAACAAAACCCCUAUUGCUCCUUGGCUACUUUAUUCUUAUCUGCUGGGUGAUAGCUGAUAGUAAGGUGUUGAGAGCACCCAGAAGAGAAGGAACAGCCCAGCUGUCCAUGGUGGGAGAGGAACAAAGACACCUGCCUUCUCACGAGGUAUUUAGUUUCAUUGCAACACUACUCAGUCUUUUAACUUUUAUUUUCUCUGCCUCCCCUGCCUGAUGAAGAAAGGAGACAGCCUCAGAGCUAUGCCUCCAGACGCAUCAUUCCUCUUGCAACACUGACUGUUUUCACAGCAAGAUGGGCCCUUUAGCUCUCCUCAUGAAAUGUGAGGCUGUGUGCCCUCUCUGCCUUCCUCUGACUACAGAGGACCACUGGAAUGUAUUUAUGGAGUUGGAAGAGUCAGAAUGCGUUUGCCUAUGAAAAUUUUUUUUGGAACUGAAACAAAACAAAACAAAAAAGCCCAACCAACUUUGAACUUGUUUUCACUAGCCCAGCCGAUGUGCCACUAUAAGCCUUCAAGGGCCUUACCCCAGCAAGGCCUCUGCUUUGGUGCUCUCCAUGACGCAAUCUGUCUCUCUGCAGACACAACUCUAAGGUGUCUCCAGAGCCAAAGUCAGGUGAAGAAAUGGGGUUAUUGUGUGGAUUAUUUUAGGUCAGAAUACAGGCCAAAAAAACAAAACUGGUUCUGUUUGAAAUUGCCUGGCUGCCCUCAUUUUGUCACUUGACUUUACAUGGAGAGAUACUGCUCCAGGAAUUACCCAAAUGACAAAAUAAACAAACAAACAAAUAAAACCGUACAUUCUGCACCAAGAAUAAAUAACGCAAAGUGGAGACUGAGCUUAUUAAUUUUUUCAAAGCCUUCCUUACCUGAAUAUGUUAAUGUGAAUUAAUGUGCUGGACUGGCCCAGAGGAAAAUAAAGUCCUUCUGUAGUUUAUCUUCUAUACCUAAAUUGGCAGAUCUAUGGAAUUCAUGUUUGCAUUACAUGUAAAGUUUUUACAGUUCUUACACCUGGAUAAGGAUCUUUUGACUGGAAAGGUCAAUAUAUUUCAAGGGCUUUGGCUCUGAGAAAGAACGGCUUGGUGGAUUCCAGGUACCAAAUCAUCUGUAAAAUCACAUGCCAAAUCCCAAAAGCUUACUGUCUCCAGGACCACAAACCAAUCAAUUUGGGAGGAAAUUGGCUCAAAUAACAUCAACACCCGUAAUGCCAAUGGCCAAACUCUAGAUGGUGAAUGUGAAAUCUUAAGUGGAAUCUGCUCCCAGGCCAAGACAAUACAACCAAAUCAUCUGGAUGCAAGUCAAGCUAUGAGAUGGAGACAUUAAAGCCCAGAUAAGACGUGCUGAAUAAUAGAAAGAACAUGAAUUUAUUGGCAGAAAGACCUGAGUUCAAAUGUGGGUGUCAGUAACUCUGCGGCUUUGGACAAAUUAUUAAACCUCAUUAAAUCUCUGUUUUCUCAUCUGGAGAUUGAGACCAGUAGUACCAACUUUCCAGGGCUGAUAUAGAGCCGAAAUUAAAAUGUCUGUGAAGUGCCUAACACAAUGGCUGGCAUCUUAUUAGAUUUAAUAAAUGUGAGUUCCCUCUUCCCUUGCCCACUAUAUGGCAGAGAUGUAAUUCAAAAGCAGGGAGGUGGGCCUCCAAACCCAAGUUCUUGGCACAUCUGUAAUGAGAACUUGUCUGAGCUGCUCCUCCACCACUGUGGUGAUACAAUCAGAUUGGCUGAACUUGAAUGAUUCUUUCCUUUAUACUGGCAAACCACUCUCUAUUAUUUUAUGUAUUUAGCCCAGAUGUAAAUCUUGUACAAGUCAAAAUCAAAAUAUAUAAAUCAUGCAUCUCCCAGUGCAUUCUAAUGUGCCUGCAGUACAGCCUGAUCAUAAAAAUAUCAGUCAUAGACCUACUCAGAAAAAAGGUUUAACAUUGGCAAAAGAUUAUAGAGUAAAUACUGGGCUUCAGGUUCUAGGGAAUUUGCGAAAAGCCAAUAAGACAUAGGGAACACCAAUAGCCUUUCUUGUGCUAAAUCUCUCUCACAGUCCCCCUGUUUUGAAUCAGGCCAUGUCUUCCCCUGGGAAGAAAAGAAAUGCAAGUUCACAAAAAAUGUUCUUGUGAAAAGUUGUAAGCUGCAUUUACAACUGGGGAAGAUUUCAGUCUCAGUUGUUUUCUUGCUGGUCAUAGAUAUAUUUGUCCUUUGCUUGCUAUGGAGAAAGAUUCUGAACUUUCAGAAAAAACUUCCAAGUCUAGACUCCAAAGAAUAUAGUUUAUCUUACUAUGGCAUUUAUUUUGCAGACAGUUCCCUCUCCAACACAUGAGUCUAUACAAAUGGUCUCACCUGGCAACAUAUUUCCCAGCCCAUGCACCCCUCCCCUAUCCCUGAUGCCCUAAGGACACUGCAGAGACAGCUGUGGGUACAAUGAAAAAGUGCAAACUUGGAGUAAUGAGAUCAGCAUCGAGUUCUAACUCUGCACUUUUCUCUCUGACUUUGUACAUGUCACCUCAAUUCUAUGAGUUUUGACUUUUGUCAUCUCUAUAAUGGGGACAUUAGCUGACUACCAGGUGUUCCACCUGAAAGCUCUGUAAAAGAAAGCACAUUGUGUUAUAUAAAUUUUUAAAAUUAGAAUUUAGAGAGCAGAAACUGAAGAACUGUAUGUUCAGCUGGUAUUUUCCAUUUUUAAAUUAAAAUUCAUACUUGCUACUAGUCUGA
rnacentral:lncRNA from 1 species